CUCCGGCUUAUCAUCAGGAGCACUACCACAGC
rnacentral:scRNA from 1 species